AGAAAUAUCUACAUAGAACUCUCUCUCUCCGUGAAAAAAAAGAACUCUCCUCUUCUCCAGUACGAUCCCCGCCAGGCUCCUCAUACACAUCCGCCAUUUCUUCCGAUUUGCCGCCGGCGAAGGACGACGUCUCUGUGCCCCAUCAGGAAACUAAUCCUCACGCUAUCCCAGAUCCACAUGUCGCUUCUUUUCUCCUGAUUUUUCUUCCUUGGUGGUGGCACAUGUGGCUGGGUGAGUGCGUGGAUCUCGGUGAACUCGUCGACUCUGGCAACGCGGUCACGGAGAUGUCCAGUGCGGACGCGGGUUGCGCUGCUCAAACUUGUCGUGCCCGGAGGCUCUGGAUGUUGGGGUCGCGGAGGCAUUGAGGGAGCUCGCAGAGGAAGAAAUAUCUGCAAGACAUGAGUAUCUUCUGUGAAUGGCUGUUAGCUGUUGCCCUCCUGCUGCCCGGACUUCUACCAAAUCACAAAGGGCCACUUUGAGUCGCUUGGUGACAUAAUGAUUAUAGGAGCAUCACCUCCAAACCUACCUUUAGUUUUAGCUCAUGGAUUGGAAUUCCUGGGAAGAUCAUGUUGCUAAGGAACUCUGUUGCACACAUAUUCUCCAUUAGUGUUGUAAUUCAUUGUUGCCUUGCACACAGUGUCCAAGUAUAGGAUUGCUCUUUCUUCGAGAAAUUCACGGUUACGAUAGUUUUGCUGCAAGUUUGGAUUGUAAUAUCCAUUCUGCAAAUUCGGCCACAUUUUGCUUUUCUAUUGGAUCUUCUAACAGACUUUAGCCGCAUGUUUUCAGUUAGUCUAAAUAUUUCGAAGUACUUCCAUAGGAGCCUCGUCCCAUAGUAUCAGUGAGGUCUUCUUUACCAGUUCAGCCAAAUGAGCAAAGCUGCAACGCCAGAUGAUGCUAACACAAGCACUUUCUUUCCCUCUGACCGUAGCUUCCUUGUAAUUGCUUUCCAUAGAUAAGUUUUGCCUGUGCCACCGUAGCCUUCUACAAAUAUCUGUUUUCCAAGUCCUUUCGCAGCUGAUUCCAUUAUUGCAUCAAAGGUCAUUUUCUGGCCAUGGUUAACAUUGCUUAUUAUGGUUUGGUGCUCAUUCUUUAGUGCCUCCAUGUCAUAGCUAAGUUUUUCGUUUAUCAUUCUGUUCCCAAGUUCUUCAAGUUCUGUAGCAUUUGGUAGUUCUGUGUCUGGAUAGUCCUUUUGUGUCUUUCCUGCUUGCCUCAUUAGUUUCUCUAUCUCAAUCAGAGCAUAUGCCUUUUUCUAUGAAUCAGUGAGCUGCAGCAUAGAAAAGUUAAGGAUAAUUCUUCUUUUGUACUGGAUAUCUUUAGACAGUGCCUCCCAUGUUGAUUCCCUCAACAUCUUUGGGUUGGUCACCUCACAAUGGCAUAAAAUUGUGGUGAAUAAUUUUCGUAAUUGUGUCCCUGAGCCCCAGCAUUAUGCUUCAUUGAUGCAUUCAAUCCACUCACUGUCGUCAUCAUGAAAUCCAAGCGCUUGGCAUUCUUAUUUGUAUGUUGGGUGAAUAGCUCCAUUAACUGUUCCAAUAUCCUGAAUUAUGUGCAUCCUUUCUCGGUGUUUAGAAGCAUUCUCAUAUAAUACCGGCUGCCACUUGCAGAGUGUGCAUAGUAGAUUCUUCCAAUAGCGAAGCCCCUUCUCGGCUCCCCAAGUUUUCGUUUCGCUUUUCCAUACAAAUUUUGAUGGGAAUUCUGCAUAGGUUAAUUCUUUUCCUGCCUCAUGUAUUUUGUUUGCCUCCAUCCACUCAGUGAACUUAGUACUCGUGGAUCCUGGCCUUCUUACUAUCUUAUCAAUGUCAGUCGAGUCCAGAAAAAUAACUUCUUGAUCAUUUUCAAUGUGGAAUGGUAGUCUCUCGACUGGUGGAUCACGAUGGUGUAGAUCAAACUGGAAUAUCCGCCAGUAUGCUUCAGUUGUUGAUAUGUAUCUCAUCUCUAGGUACUUGAUUGACCUGGGCCUGUUGCACCACUCGACAUUUAUGUGAUCUUGGAAUUGACCAAAAGGUUUCGGUUGUAUGGCCAAAAGUGCUUUGGCGUCACUUCUUCCGAGGUCGAUUGGAGUAGCUGGGCAUGGCUUCGUCAUGCGUUGAGUGUGCUUUGGCGUGACUUCGUCGGACGUAGAGUGAAACGGCUGGAGGUGGCUUUGCGUAUCAAAUGUCAAGUGGCCCAGUUGCGUGUGAUGUCUUCAAGCCAUCUGAGUUGCCGAAUCGCAUGUGAUGUCUUCAAGCCAUCUUGGUUGCCGACUUCUAAAUUUUUGGUGUGUGCUUCUGCGGCCGGCUGUACUUGUUUAUAUAUGGAUGGAGGUGCAUGGGUUGAGGUGGCCGAGACCGUGAAAGCAGAUCGGAAACCUGUCUUUUUUUUCAUGUCUUGGUUCCUGUUUUGGAACUUCCUCACGUGAGGUCUGGUUAGGUCCAAUCGUUGUCCUUAUUUGUUUAGGUUUCCUACUAUUUUUGCUUCCUUGACCCAUUGAUUAAUUUUUUUUUCUUUCUACGGGCUAGUUGACGAUUCGGAUGGAACCUAUGUGCACUAUUUGUACGUGGCAUGUUAUACUACUUGAACACGUACAUAUUUUUA